rnacentral:rRNA from 1 species
GGAGUUUGGACCGUGUCUCAGUUCCAAUGUGGGGGACCUUCCUCUCAGAACCCCUACUGAUCGUAGGCUUGGUGGGCCGUUACCCCGCCAACAACCUAAUCAGACGCAUCCCCAUCCUAUACCGGUAAACCUUUGCUUCAUUUCAGAUGCCAUCUACGAAGAACAUAGAGUAUUAAUCCGAUUUUCAUCGGGCUAUGCCCUACUAAGGGGAAGGUUGGAUACGCGUUACUCACCCGUGCGCCGGUCGCCGACAAGGUUAGCAAGCUAACCUCUCGAUGCCCCUCGACUUGCAUGUGUUAAGCCUGUAGCUAGCGUUCAUC